rnacentral:rRNA from 1 species
CCUACGGGUGGCUGCAGUGAGGAAUAUUGGUCAAUGGACGGAAGUCUGAACCAGCCAUGCCGCGUGCAGGAAGACGGCUCUAUGAGUUGUAAACUGCUUUUGUACAAGGGUAAACCUGAAUACGUGUACUCUGCUGAAUGUACCUUACGAAUAAGGAUCGGCUAACUCCGUGCCAGCAGCCGCGGUAAUACGGAGGAUCCAAGCGUUAUCCGGAUUUAUUGGGUUUAAAGGGUGCGUAGGCGGAUUGUUAAGUUAGAGGUGAAAUGCCCGGGCUUAACUCGGGAACUGCCUCUAAUACUGUUGAUCUAGAGAGUGGAUGCGGUAGGCGGAAUGUGUGGUGUAGCGGUGAAAUGCUUAGAGAUCAUGCAGAACACCGAGUGCGAAGGCAGCUUGCCAAGCUAUGUCUGACGUUGAGGCACGAAAGCGUGGGGAGCAAACAGGAGUUGAUACCCCUGUAGUC